GGUCCACAUCUGUGGAUGCUUCAGAAUCUCUACAAAAGGCCAAGAGGUGAGAGUGGUUUUAACUCCUAUGAACCCAGAGGCAAUGACUCCAGUUACUUGAACAAGUUGACCUCGUUGGAGGGGAAGCUUCAGGCAGACCAGAGGACCCGUUUGCACAGCAGUGCUCUGAUGCUGAGUUGAAAAACAGUCACUGGAAGAAAAUUCUUUUAGCGGAUGGAGAGUCAGGAGGGGAGGGACCUGUGGCUUCCUGAAUAGCAUGGAGAAGGCAACUUCUGAUGGACAGACAUUUCCAGAAAGAAUGCCAGCCUCUUUCCUUGCCGACCUCCUCUCUGCCUGGCUCUUACUCACCACUUGAAGAUGAGGUUGAGCCAGUCUCCAAUCACAGCGACCCAGAGGAGUUGGAUGCCCACAGCUUCUCGAAGAUGGAACCAGAUGGGGAAGAGGACAUAGAAGGCAUUCCUGAGGUCUGCGAUCACAGAGACCAGGAUGAACCAAUCCUGGGAGUCCUGGACCACAAAGAGAAGUCCAGGCUGGCCUGCUGGACACAUGUGGCUGUAACACGUAACCUGUCUGACAGCCAGCCCCAGCUGCCAGACGUGUGAGUGAGUCCAUCAUAGACCAUCCAGCCCUAGUCUCUCUGCCAGAUAUCUGCAGUCAAGAGAGUGAUUCCAGGUGACUCCAGCAGAAGAACUGCCCAACUGAGCCCCAGUUCAGAGGGCUGA